ACACACACUACUGCUGCUGCCACGAGCAGCUCCGUAGACGAGGCUGCAUUAAAAAAACAUCCACCCAUUGAUGGAAGCUGAAAAUACAGGCUCUUCUCUCUCUAUCUCUCCUAUUGCAGGCACAUACUGGCGUUAGGGUUGAGAGCAACAGCAGCAGCAGCAGCAACCUCACUGGCAUUGACGGAACUAGAAGCAGCCUUAAAGAACCCCCCCUGUGGCAUCAUAAGUGUCAGUAGCAAGCAACCAUCGGACGCACGCUGACAGGACCGGCGCUGACAGGCAGCCUUUCUCGCAUCGUUACCCAGGGACAGCAACUCCGAGAUGGGCUGCUCCUCAGGCCGACAGACCCCUGCCCCGGUCCUUCACCCGGACCUGGUUUGCGGCAGCAACGAGGCCAACAACUUACCCCAGGACUCGGAGAACCAGAACCAGGGUUUGACUAGGUGCGGGGAAGGAAGUGUUGGAAGAGACCCAGCCAAACCGCCGGAGUCUGUCCCCACGCUGGAGAGACUUGCCCAGGCUACAGGCGGGACAGAAAAGUCCUGGUACCGCUGCGUGUUCCCGUUCGGUGUGAUAUCCCUCGUGAUUGGCAUGGCGGGCACUGGGGUGACGUUCACUUUUGACACGCUGCUCCAGACCAAAGUGGUGUCAGUGGCACUGCUGUGUGCCGGCGUUGUGAUGCUGCUCGUGGCAGCCGUUUGCUGGAGGGCCCACAGACAGAGGAGGAGGAAAAAGAAGGAGAGUGGAUUCUUCACCGCUGAUCAGGGCACUUUGUGAUCCAGUCAGAUCCUUGUUAGUCAGGACAGAGCACUUGAAGUUGGACUUUUUUUUUUAAACGAGAAAGGCAACUUAAUAAGAAGAAUGUGAUGCAGCCACAUCCAUGCUUUUCUUCUAUGCACUAGGACAGAGUGAUAAAGAGUACAGAUAAGUUGAUUAAUUAUGGAAACGUGCCAGGGAAAGGUAAAUUUUAGCAUCACCACCAUCCUGAGCAGAUACACAGGUUAAAGUAUGCGUCACAGAAAAACUCCCCCCUCUCCUGCUCUUUGUUUGUCCUUCUUUAUUAUGGAUUACUUGAGGAUCGAGUGGAGCACAGAGCACACUAUCGAUUAUUGCCUCAAGUCUGGCCUCAUGUGUCACGGAAAUGUGCGAGAGAUAGGCACCUCAGGAAUAGGAACCUUCCUGGUUCUAGAUCUGCAGCUUGACAGUGCACAGUCUCCCUAAAGAGGUGUGCCUGUGUGGGAUCCGAGGUGUUAUCUAUAAACAGAUUCCUGCAUAUGUCAGACGUCAUCAGAGCAACAGUCUUUAAGAAAUUGUGAGACUUUUGUGUUUGUGCAUGCUAGUUCAGUUCAAUUGGUUUACAGAGGGACAAUAUUUGUUCCUACCAAAGGAAUCUUAGUGGUUAGAGGAGCUCAGGACCACACAUUUGCCACUUUUAAACCUAAUCAAUGAAACAGGGUUUCACUCUUCCCACAAAACCACAGCUAAGGUGCAUUUCUGCAUGUACACCACUUAUGGUACGUGUCCACAGGGGCAUUUUUUUAAAUUUCUUUUUAAUGACCACUGAGAGGCAAAGAGAACAGGAUUCACCCUCCACGUCUGCGACGGCUGCACCUAAUUGGAUGAACGCUUUGAAUAGUGGGCUGUCUGCUUUCAAGAUGCACCAACAUGGCUGCUUGUUUGGAAACCCUCGCUUAUUUUAUGAAAAUAGUUCACCAAAAUGUGUUUGUGAAAACAUUUUAGGCAAGAAAUUAGCUAUGCAGAUGCUGAAUCCGUCUUCAUUUUAAAUCGACAAUGGUCAUUUUAAAUGAUUUUCAGGGGGGUUUCGAGAGGCUGCAGAUUUAUGCAAAUGAGGAGCGGGCAACUUGACGCAGCCAUCUUCGGAAAGUUGCAGCGAUACUACCAGAAUGCAUUGGCCGGCUGCUUACAUAGACAAUGAAUGGGAAGCGUGGAAAUGACGCUGCCUGUGGACACGUACCUUUAGUCUUCAACUGCUCCAGUGCACUUAUUAGGCAAAAGGGAAACCGUGAAUCAGGCAUAAUCACGUAAAAACCGCUAGCACGCUUAGUCCAUUUUCCCAGAGUGUUUCUGACUGCAGUCCAAUUUUGUGUUAUCAGGCACACAGGUCAACCGCUUUUCUUCCUGCCACCAAGCUCUGUGGUGGAAAAUCACGGCCCAGCUGUGUGACGGAUAAAUAGAAAGCGCCACUCCGUGCAUUGUUAAGCUUUGGAGGCAAUAGCCUGCAUUUUUAGUCGGAGCACAUGAAAUUGCUCUCCCUGGCACUCUUGGACUUGUCAUACACGGCUUGUGCAUUGUAUGACAAGGAAAUCCCAUUACAGAAACAGUAACAGUGAAAACACACCAACAAAGACAAAGCCCUCAAGGGCCAGAUACUCUGAUCAACGCCUCCCACGGAGCCAAACUGAGGCAACACCACUGAACAUUUAGGUUUGAGCACUGAGGGGAAAAUCAAUGUUUCCCUUCAUUUUACCCUACACUAUCCAAAGAGGGAUAUACACCCUAGUUUAUAUAGGCAACUGGAUAUGAGAAACGGAAAUUAAGUUAACUAUUCCCGAGGGACAGGGGGGGUUUAACUGGUCUUUUCCUAUGGAUCAGGUUAGCUGUAUGACAGAGUGGUAGCUAUCGUCUUAAUGCCUUUGUCCUAAAUAUUGUCCUUUCUUGAACACAUACUAGACUAGACAAAGUCAGAUGUUUUUUUUAACCAACUAGCUAUCAAGGCAGUUCUUUGUAAAUUGUUUCUUAAAGUAAGAGCAAAAUCUUAGUAGUGGAUCCAAAAUGUAGCAGUGUUUCACCCACAGCAACUAUGUUAGUGUCUGGUCACUGGUUUUGAGGAAGACCCAGCAGCUUCUCCUCAGCCGCAGCGAUGUUAUUGUAUUUGAUUAAUGACUUUUUGAUUUCUAUCGCUUUGAUAAAGUGUUUACCGGGCAUCACACGUGGUCCAGUUAAUUUUGUUUGCAUGGAGUUGCAACUCCAGUUCUCAUGUGAAACAGCAGCUGUAGUGUACUGUAUGUGUGUGUGUGCACACCAAAGCUACACAUAAUCUACUCCCCGUGGUUUCCGCUCUUCCUUCUUCAUUUCCUUUCCAUUCUCUCAACUCGUCACAUUUGGUCUGUGGGUCAGGACCCCUUGGUGUGUGUUUUUUAAUACCUUGGGUACCUCUAUGGUGUAAUUUUUCAACGUGCAGGGUAUAGUUAGGUCAAGGCAACAGAACUACUUUGCUAGAUAUAGGAAAAGAUUGUGGUUUGGGUUAAAAUAAGUACACGUUUGUUACGAAAGGUUAGGGUUAGCCCUUAACUCAAAGUUUGCUAUGUAACUUACGUAUGCGAUGCUAGUUAAGUACGUUACGUACGUAACUUAACUUACAUAGGUUGAGUAUGUAAUGUAAGUUAAAAUAAGUCGUCGUUGACUCUUGGGACACAUUUCACAAGACAUGGACUUUUCCGCUUUUCAAUUAUUAUCCUCCCUACACAAACUUUGUCACUCUUCAGACUACGUCAUCUAAAUGCGCCGGUCAAACAGUUGAAAGUCCGGUGAGUCUCACACAAACGCUAAAAGGUGCCUUGUACGUCGGUAUCAGACGCCGAGGGGCUUUGACCAAACUGCCGUAUUUGACGAGUUGAGGGUUGUCCUUUCACAGAUGCUAAUAGAACCCAGGGCGAUCUAAGAUAAUCCCUCACAGUAUUGAUGUGUUCAUUUGUGUACACACAUAUUUGUUCUGAAAUACUAUGUAUUCUUCUUACUGACAUAUCCUAAAUACUACUGUCUUUCUAAGAGUGUAGCCACAUUUCUGAAUGUAUCGCCGACAGUGAGUGUCUUAUGAAUAUCCUUAUGAACUAUUUAUGUAUCGUCUAUUUUUGGGUAUACAGAGCAAAUGCAUCUAUGUGAAGCAGUUGCCUUGGUUUCUUUAUUUCUGUUUCAAUAGCUCUCUGGUUGUAAUGAUUUUAAAUAUGUUGCUGUGAGUGUUAAUUGUAACCCUUUCAUUCCAAAAUGAGACAUUGCCAUUUGAAGAAACCGACACAGACAAAGUAACAAUUUCCAAUGAAGUGAAGCACAUCAUAGGUUAUAAUAAUAGCUAUUUUUAAAGACAAAAACAUGUUCUGUUUUUUUAACCCUCAACAAGCAAAUUUUAGAUGGUAUUUUUUUAGCCAAAUUUAAAGAAAUACCCAUGGUUUUGGAGUGAAACUAUUCCGUGGCUUAAGUGAUUGUGGUCUAUUUGCUUUGAGUUCAUUGGUAUGGCCCAGCUUUUCUCUGAGUGCCUUUUACUUGCAACAUCAAUAUUUCCCUGUAAGGUGUACAGGCGUGCUGGUGCCGGUAAUAGAGUAGCCCAAGAGGGGCUGAAAUAUUUCAGUUUAUUUUAGUCAUGUUGGUCUUUGUGAGUGUUAUGGUGUACACGAAAAUACCUUAUAUCCCACUUUGAUACUGUUCCUUUAGUUAAUAGCCAGAAAUACCAAAUAUAUAUUUAUCAAGAAGUUUAUUUUUUGUCUCUCCUAAAUGUGUAAAUUGUUCUGUUGUUUACUGUAAGCUGCAGAAGCAGUGGAUUAAAUACAAAAGUCAGUUUUGGAAACAA